CGAGCCGGUGCACCCCUUCUGCGCCGAGCUCACUCUCCGCGCAUCCUCGCGUCUCCCCUUAACCCUGCCCCUACUUUCCCCUUACUUUCCUCCAACUCUUCUGUCACCGCCACCCCCCCCCACACGUCGUCCCUCUGCUCCCCGGCUUUGGGCGCCUUUAUAUCCGCGCUAACCCCACGCCUCUCUUCUCCUCUUCUCCUCUUCUCCUCCCCCGGAGCACACCGCCUCCGACGACCUUAAAAGACAUCCGCCGUCAGACUCGGUCCUGCCUCCCGUCCAGGCUGAUUUCGAUCCGCGUCCAGUUCGGUACCCAGGAGCAGCUGUCAUCCAGCCCUUUUUUGAACGGAGACACCCAAUGUCACCGGAGCGACACAACCGGCCGGCGGAGUCUGGGACGGACUUCUGCGCUGACCACCUCCACCUCCCUCCCGAGUGAGGGCCUCCUGGAAUUGCUAGAAGAGCACAGGAUCAAUAAGCCCUUGCACUGGCACCUGCUCUGCGAAGUGAUUAUUGCCUUUGAAUAAAGAAAGCCCCUAGUAAUAAAUCAAAGUAAUGAUUUUCUCCUAUGCAGGCUUCUCUGCGGGCUGAGGGGGUCAACAAGAAAACAGCUACACACCAAAGUCAACAUCCGAGCCCUUCUGUUCUGGCAGGGCACUCCUAGCCACAGAUGUUAACUCCCAGAAUGGCAGCACUUUCUCGUUUUGUAAAACGAGGAAAUUUGGACCCUGGUUCCUAGGAGUUAAUGGUGUAUACAGAUAGUCCGUACACCCGAGGGGUGCUAACUUUGUGCCACUUAAUGCCCUUGGGACUGUGUCAGGGCCGGGAAACCACACCGCAUGAGCUCGGGGAUGGCAGUUCUUGUGUUCUGCUGCUAUGAAAUAUUAAUGAUCAAGAGAUUAUGAGGCUUUCAUUAGAUACUAAAUGUCAUUACUUUGUGAUUUAAUGGGACUUAUUAAUUAGUCCCCCACAUCAAUUGGUAUUAAUGUGAUUUAUACAUUUCCUCGGGAAUGCCAUCUGUAAAGAUAGUAUUGAGGAUCUUUGGGGGGAUUUUCACUGCUGUUUGCGCUCAGCAUCUUCAGAGGGUAUUUUUCCGGUGAAGAGCAUGUAUCUCUUCCGAGUGAUCCAGUUUACAGACAGAGUCCUUAAGCAAACCUUUCAGUCAUGUCAGACCCCAGGCCCAUUUCUGCUGACCUGACAAUGUGAAUUAUUGCUUGGAUUUUCUCACAGCUUCAGCAAGAACUAUGAUAAGCUCUCCUCUAAUUAAGGAAGACAAAGAAUUAUAAUUUUAGUGCUCUUUUCACCUAUAAGCAUUCCCCUUAACAGGAAACACUGGCUCAUGAAAAGGCUUAUCUGGAUUUACAUAAAAAUGAUCAGUCUCAGAAGCUCUGUUUUAUUAUAUUCUAAAAUAUGUGUAAAAUCCAAGAGCUUUAUGUUUGCAUAAAGGAAAUACUGCAC
rnacentral:lncRNA from 1 species